GCUAUUCUGGGUGCCAUCUGGUUGCUAAUUUUAGCUGAUAUCCAUGAUUUUGAGAUAAUUCUACACAGAGUAGAAUGGGCAACCCUUCUAUUCUUUGCAGCACUCUUUGUUCUUAUGGAGGCAUUGGCACAUCUCCACUUAAUAGAGUAUGUUGGAGAACAGACUGCUUUGCUAAUAAAGAUGGUCCCAGAAGAUCAGCGCCUUGCAGCUGCCAUCAUCUUGGUCAUCUGGGUCUCAGCCAUCGCAUCGUCCCUGAUUGACAACAUACCAUUCACUGCU